rnacentral:rRNA from 1 species
CGUAACAAGGUCUCCGUAGGUGAACCUGCGGAGGGAUCAUUACACAAAUAUGAAGGCGGGCUGGAACCUCUCGGGGUUACAGCCUUGCUGAAUUAUUCACCCUUGUCUUUUGCGUACUUCUUGUUUCCUUGGUGGGUUCGCCCACCACUAGGACAAACAUAAACCUUUUGUAAUUGCAAUCAGCGUCAGUAACAAAUUAAUAAUUACAACUUUCAACAACGGAUCUCUUGGUUCUGGCAUCGAUGAAGAACGCAGCGAAAUGCGAUAAGUAGUGUGAAUUGCAGAAUUCAGUGAAUCAUCGAAUCUUUGUACGCACAUUGCGCCCUUUGGUAUUCCAAAGGGCAUGCCUGUUCGAGCGUCAUUUGUACCCUCAAGCUUUGCUUGGUGUUGGGCGUCUUGUCUCUAGCUUUGCUGGAGACUCGCCUUAAAGUAAUUGGCAGCCGGCCUACUGGUUUCGGAGCGCAGCACAAGUCGCACUCUCUAUCAGCAAAGGUCUAGCAUCCAUUAAGCCUUUUUUUUCAACUUUUGACCUCGGAUCAGGUAGGGAUACCCGCUGAACUUAAGCAUAUCA